CACGGUGAGUUUUGUUGGUUUGCCCCCAGCUUGUGCCAGUUUCUGCUGUGCAAAUCCAUGCAAAGCUCACUGUGUC